GUUCUGUCGCCAGGGUGCCGCUCUCAGGGCUGAGGAGGGAGGUGUGGGAGGCGGUGGGAGUGUCCGCUGAGGGAGGGGUCACAGGAAUGCACGGUUCGCUACUGAGGGAGCAUUCUUGAGCCGAGCUGAGUGCAGCCGGACACGCUCUGGAAAGGAUCUCCUGCAUGAUCACAAACCUGCUUUGAUUGGAUUUGCACUUAAUCUGUUGGGAGCUCAAAGCCUCACAUUUACUGUGUUUGGAGGAUUUUACUGGAUACUGAUUCAGUCCCUGGAAAGGAUUGGCUCAGGAUGGACAUGUUCAAAGGGUAAAAACAAACACUUUGUCAGAGCUCCUAGAUUUUGGAGGGACCUAUCUUUUUUGUUUAUACAUGUAAGGAAGCAACUUUUUAACACUUCUGAUACUGGAGUGACUGAACUCUGAAAAGCGUUGGAUAGUUGAAAACAAAAAUUGGCAGUAUUUUGGAUGACACUGAGAGGGACCAGAGAGUUUAUCAUCCUCCUUUCAUCGUAUCAUUGGCAUUUUGGGUUGCUCUGACAAAUAGAGACAUCCCCCCCCCCUUCAAAUGAAGGUCUUGCUGAUGUUGCUAAUACCACAAAUGCGAGAGCAGAAAACACUGAGCACCAUGCCACAAGGAGGAGACAUUUAGAACCCAAGAAAGAUUGAAGGAAGCCUGAAGGAAAAAGCUGUUUGUAGUCACUUUUGUGCACUUGAGAGUGCAUCAGCACAAGUAAAGAAGAGCACCUCACCAUGUUUGCCCCGACGACAGCCCUGCCUCCUCCUCCUCCCCUCUUAACAGGAAGUGCUCUGCCAGUGCCCGGCGCGCCAGCAACAGCUCCUUACACAGAUCAUGACCUACUGCGGCAAGAGUUAAACUCUCGCUUCCUGGCCUCCCAGACUGUCGAUCGAGGAGGCGCCCAG